GACCUCAGAUCAGGCAAGGCUACCCGCUGAAUUUAA
rnacentral:rRNA from 8 species